GCGGCUAUAGGUUAACUGGUAGACCUAGUGACUUCCAAUCAUUGAGCAUCUGUUCGAGUCAGAUUAGCCGUA
rfam:Sugiyamaella lignohabitans strain CBS 10342 mitochondrion genome.